rnacentral:tRNA from 1 species
GCGGUGGCUGACAGCCGGCGCCCGAGCCCCGGCCGCGGGCCUCGCGAGACACCAUGAGCUUCCCAAGCUCAGAGCACGAGUUCGAUUCUCGUCACCCGCU